CAAGGGGUGCCUCACCAAAUGGAAGUGGCUCAAACCUCACUUGACCUUGGAGAGGCCCUGAAGGCAGCCACAGGAGGCCCGGGGACUCAGGCGCCACGGACCCAGCUGAACUGGCAGAGCACUUCAAAGGCCUGCGGGUCAUUCAUCAUCCCCAUGACGCUCCAGCAAAGCUCGGCUUCAGCUCCGUGCCAGGGAUUUGUUAUGACUUGAGAGCCAGCUGACAGACAGACAGGGACAUGAACGCAGGCUCCAGCCCUUUUUGUCACUCUCAGCCACACCAGUGCCCCUGUACCUGACUGCAGGGCCGUGACAUGAUUAAUCGUUUUCUUCUGAUCUAAUUUUGGAACAUGAAAAACAGCACAUUUGUCUUGAAGAAAAAUGAUGUGCCGAACUGCGCAGAUGGAAAUUUCGAGCAAUGAGAAAGAUUAAAGUGAAAC
rnacentral:lncRNA from 1 species